UAUUUACCGAAGAAAUGCCGCUUAAUUAGGAAGAGGAAGAGACGUCGCUUAUGGGACAAGCGUCAUCCAUGGAAAUAUCCUCUUCUCUCUCAUCUCUAUCUCUCUCCCAACUUCGUGAAAUCAGUUGGUUUCUCUUACCUCACUGACCGUCGUCACUAACGGAAGCAGCUUCGAUCCUCAUCUCGAUCCAUAUCCACUCGAGGAGAUUUCUCUUCCCACCGUGAUGUCGAAAGCUCGUUUCUACACCGACGUGAACGUGAUCCGUCCCAAAGACUAUUGGGAUUACGAGUCUCUUAAUGUUGAGUGGGGGGGAGCAAGAUGAUUACGAGGUAGUCAGUAAAGAUUCAAGCUUUCUUCUUUGUGUUUGCUCAUGGUUAUUGUUCACAACCGCCACAAAAGAUAUGUGCUCUCUUUGAUUGCCUCACACGAGAAGCUUUUUGUGUUUUUGGAGUUUCUUGACCUGUUCUUGAUUGGUUUCACUAGGUUUAGUAGAAUGUUAAUUACUUAGUUAAGCUUAUGAGUUAUGUUAAUCUUUAGUCUCAGGAGAGUGAUACGUCAGCGUUGGAAGCUAGGAACGGUAAAGACAUCCAAGGGAUCCCUUGGGAGAAGCUUAAUUACAGCCGAGAUCAAUACCGUCACUAGAGAUUGCAACAGUAUAAGAACUUUGAGAGCCUCUUUAGAUCCAGACAAGACCUUGACAAGGCUGCUUACUUUAACGACUCACAGAGGACAGCUACUAAAGAUGCUGGUCGUGAAAAGAGUAGUACCAUAGCUUCUGUUUCUUGUUCUUGUUUGUUGUUGUUAAGCAGAUGUAGUCACUUGAACCAUCGUUCUGAAUGCUUGCAUGUGGCUGAUUAUCACAUGUUCGAACUAUAUUGUUGGAUCCUUCUUGCUCUGGCUCUGGAACCAUUAUAGAUCGUCUGGACCAUCUCCUUCCUUCUCAUUCAGCAGGUCCAGAUUUCAAUUCCCGGAGAAAGUUAUUUAUUAAACAAUUAUGCAGGCUACGGAGGAAAAGCUUACAAUGUCAUCUUCAACAUGGUGCAAGUAAACUCAGUUAGACGUGGAUCUUCAUAGUGCAGCUCUGGUGAUGCAGUUAGAUAUAUAUUCUCAUAAGGCAAGUAGUAUUGUCGGUUGUCGAAUCAUCUAUGUAAUCUUACUCAUAAUUGUAAUAUCCUAAUAAAUCAAAGUUAAAAAAAAUCAAUAGA